GACGAACGCUGGCGGCGUGCUUAACACAUGCAAGUCGAACGAAGUGGCGAACGGGUGAGUAACGCGUAAUCAACCUGCCCUUCAGAGGGGGACAACAGUUGGAAACGAAUGCUAAUAACGCAUACUGAAGGAGGGGAUUGCGUCUGGUUAGCUAGUUGGAGGGGUAACGGCCCACCAAGGCGAUGAACAGUCGCCGGUCUGAGAGGAUGACAGGCCACAUUGGGACUGUGACACGGCCCAGACUCCUACGGGAGGCAGCAGUGGGGAAGCUUCCGCAAUGGACGAAAGUCUGACGGAGCAACGCCGCGUGAGUGAUGACGGCCUUCGGGUUGUAAAGCUCUGUUAAUCGGGACGCGGUACCGGAAUAGAAAGCCACGGCUAACUACGUGCCAGCAGCCGCGGUAAUUC
rnacentral:rRNA from 1 species